rnacentral:rRNA from 1 species
CUAAGGUAGCAUAGUCAUUUGUUAUUUAAUUGAUAACUGGAAUGAAAGGUUAAACUAAUUUAUUAAGUUUGUAGAACUGAGUAGUAGAUUAAAGUUAAGGUAAGAAUUCUUUAAUAGCCUAGGGGACGAUAAGACCCUAGAAGCUUAACAAGAGUAGUGGUUUGGUUUAGAAGUUAGUUUGUUUUACUGGGGCGGUAAAAGUAAUUAAGCUAUUUAUUAUUUAAAGGAUCCUUUAAAUAAAGAGAGAAUGGAGAAGUUACUCUAGGGAUAA